ensembl:lncRNA
CUAUUUCAGUGAGGAAAUAACUGCUCACGUGAUGUCUUAGGAUUAGCGGAACCGUAAGGAAAAGAAUAAUCAAAGUGUUCUUCCUGUGUUUUGACUCUAGACGUUGCUCACUGAAAAUACAGAACUGUUGACAAACAGUACUAUGUAAAAAGAAAAUUCUUUCCUUUGUUCUCAAACUACUUUUUAAAAUAACUACUGUCUCAAAAAAAAAAUCACCUUUCUUAAAAAAAAAAAAAAAAAGGGGGGGGGGAAAUGUUUUAAAAGAUGAAUGGGAAGAUAUAUGUUUUUGUAAUGGACAGUGUAUCUUUUAGGCAAUAUAAUUUUUAUGAAAGUCGUAACAUUUUUGAGAAUUUAAUGAGUAUCCUUUCUCAAAAGAGCUUGCACCUCAUUGUCCGGAUCUUACCUUACAAAAGGUCACCAGAUACGUUCCUGAAAAGCAAUUUGCACAUGGGAGCUUUUACAGAUUUGGGCAGGGAGUUUAAAAUAAACUAGUACGUGCAUACCAAAAAAGGGAUGUGUUCGUUCAUAUACCUCGGUUGCCUAAACUCUCAGCAAUAGAGAAGCCCCUUUGAGUUUCAGGAAAAUUGUUAUGUCCACUGUAAGCUGAGAGUUGCUAUAGAAGCUUGUGGAACUCUGUGGAGAAUAAUCACAAGUGUGAGACACAGUGCUUGGGGGGAGAAGGAAGUGAGCUGGAGACAGCACAUCGGAGUCUGGAAGUAACGCUGCAUGGAGGGAAGCGUGCCGUUGAUACAACAGAACAGAUGAAUGACUUCAGAAGUCUUUUGGAUUUUCUGUGUGUCCAAAAAAAGAGCAAACCUUUAUGAUAUGAAAAUUUAGAUGCCGUAGCAGAAAACGGAGUCACUUCCUUGACACAAAUAAGGUACGAGAGUCCCAGCAGUGUUCAUGCAGUACAAUUUGCGCGAUGAGGAGACUCCUGAAACGACUCCCAGUGACCUCCCCCAGGCAUCACCAGGACCUCAAGGGAAAAUAAGAAGAGUUCAUGAAGGUGGUCUCCAGAUGAUACAGCCCUCGCAGAAGCACUCACUCCGCUCUUCGUUUCCACUGACUAGGAAGCAAAUCCGCGACACUACCAGGCCUGGCAAGUGCAGACAGAUUCCAGUUGCUCCUGGACUUACUAAGAAGGCAGACACGUUAGCUCUGACACUCAAAGUGCGCAACGCUGUGAACGUGAAUAACGCCGCUCAAAGAGAACAGCGUGGUGCGUAA